UAUGAAGUGAAAAUAUGGCAGAUCAUUAAUUGUCGUGUUUUGAAGACGCAGUUGACCGAUUGUCACCUAAUAGUAAACAAUCAACAUAGAAAGCAUGAAUAUUGAGCACGUGUAUAACAUGUACAAUCAGAUAGAUAAUAGUUUAUUUCAGUGACAGAUCCCUGCGUAUUGCGAUCACCAGAUUUUUACGAGGAAGGUCACGCUAAGGUCACUUUGAAUACGGAAAAUAUGUCGGCG
rnacentral:lncRNA from 1 species